rnacentral:rRNA from 1 species
UAGGGAAUAUUGCAAAAUGGGCGAAAGCCCGAUCCAGCAACGCCGCGUGGGCGAUGAAGGCCUUCGGGUCGUAAAGCCCUUUUUGAGGGGAUGAGGAAGGACAGUACCCUCAGAAUAAGCCUCGGCUAACUACGUGCCAGCAGCCGCGGUAAAACGUAGGAGGCGAGCGUUAUCCGGAUUUACUGGGCGUAAAGCGCGUGCAGGCGGAUUGGAGAGUUGGAUGUGAAAGCUCCCGGCUUAACUGGGAGAGGUCGUUCAAUACUUCCAGUCUUGAGUGCAGUAGAGGGAAGUGGAAUUCCGGGUGUAGUGGUGAAAUGCGUAGAUAUCCGGAGGAACACCAGUGGCGAAAGCGGCUUCCUGGACUGUAACUGACGCUCAGACGCGAAAGCUAGGGUAGCAAGCG